GGCCAUAUCACGUUGAAACAUUGGUUCCUAUACGAUCCUCGAACUUAAGCAACCUUACGCCUAGUCAGUACCUAGCUGGGUGACCGCUUGGGAAUAACAAGUGCUAU